CUCUGCACAGGACGCCGCACGCCUCAUGACCCGCUCCUGCCAGACCUCGCCGGUUUCAUCUCCUGAUGCUCCACCCUUUGCACGUCAACCCUACCUGGCCAGCAGCCUUCCCAGUGCCACCAGCAGAGGGAUGGGGCCUCGGAGUCAGCACGCAGCUUGUAGGUGGAAAUUACAGGUGAGGAAACUGAGGCUUACAAGAAGCCCAGUGACUUGCAUAAGGCCACACAGCCAGGAAGGAGCAGUGGAGACCUCGACUUCUCGGUUUGGCUUCAGAGCUCUCGGUCACA